GUCUAUAUGAUUAUUAAAUAUAAAGUCUGGCCUGCCCCCUGAUUUUUUAAAGGGCUGCGGUAAUUUGACCGUGCGAAGGUAGCAUAAUCAAUAGUCUUUUAAUUGAGGGCUUGUAUGAACGGUCGGAUAAAAUGAAAGCUGUCUUAACAAAAUAAUUUGAAAUUAACAUUUGUGUGAAAAGGCAUUAAUGUUUUAGUGGGACGAUAAGACCCUAUAAAACUUUAUAAUUAGUAAGAUUUUUUAUAAUUUUUAAUAUUAACUUAGAAAAUUUUAUAUGUUAUUUUGUUGGGGCGACAGGGAUAUAAUUAGUAACUGUUUUGAUAUUACAAUAAUUAUAAUUAGAUAGUGAUCCUGUUAUUAUGGAUUAAAAGAUUGAGUUACUUUAGGGAUAACAGCGUGAUUUCUUUUGAGAGUUCUUAUCGACAAAGUGAGUUGCGACCUCGAUGUUGAAUUAAAGCUAACUUCUAAGUGCAGCAGCUUAGAGUUGUAGGUCUGUUCGACCUUUAAAGUUUUACAUGAUUUGAGUUCAAACCGGUGUGAG
rnacentral:rRNA from 1 species